GCCUAUCAAGUUCACGUUUGGCUUCCAGGUAAUCAUCCAGGCCCUGUGCAUCUUGCCAGGCUCCCAAUCAGGCAAGCAGAAAAACCUGCUGUCUGCUACAGAAGUCUGUCCACCAAACAAAGACUAAAAGAAAAGGUGGAGUCACUGGAUGGUCAGUGGGGGAAAGCUGUCCUGAAACACCGAAAUGUUGGCCGGAUAAUUGAUUCCGCCUGUAUUGCAGUGUGGAAAUUGAGGCUAUCGGCUACAAGCCCAUUUUAUUUAUUGGCAAAAAAGAUAAGGUCUCAAAUAAGUGGGCAGCAGAUGUUAUUACCCAUCUGGGCCCCAGUUCUACUACAAGACAUUUCCUGGAGAAGAUGCAGAGGGCUUAUGAUUUUAUCUUGACUAAGA